CGUGCGAGCCCUGAUAUAGUGUUCAUCUUAUAUUUUUAGUUCCCUACUUCCCCCAUCAAUGGUCUUCACUUCCCCCAUUUUCUCCAGGGUUUCCCAAACCCACGGGAUUAGGUGAGGGUUGCCGACCAUCUCCGGAACGAGAAGAUGAGAUAGAUGUUGCCGGUCGGUCCGGCCGCGUCGCCGAUGGUGGCCUCUUCGCCAUCUCCUUCCUCCAUGUUUCCUUGGAUGCUUUCCAUCCACCGGUCGCCUUCUAUUGGAGAGGUUGUCCUAUAAGCCCUCACCGAUAAGGGUGGAUGAUUCGAUUGCUCGCGUGCUCUGGUGAUUCUCAUGUUCUUCGUACCCAAUGUCCUCGGCUGCUUCGAUGCCAAUUGAACCUGCUACUUCCCAGCAUGGAAAUGGUGGAUCAAAGAGGACCAGCCUCCAGAGUGCACCAGAGGCUAUGAAGGUGGAGGAAGUUCCACAAAGGAUUACAUGGGUGCUCCCCAUGUGUGAUGAACCUGUAGGCGAAGCAAUUGCGGUCAUAAAUGGGGUUCAGAUCCCCCUGUAGACCAGCGGGUCCUGUGUCCAUGAUUUCAUACAAGGGGUGGAGAAUGGUGGCAACAAACGAAGGCGAAGAUUCCAUAGGCAUUGACAAUGUACCAGCUAAGUGUUUGUGAGAUGGCAUUGGUCAAUGACAGCUUAUUGCGACCAUUAGUUGUUCCCUGCCCUCACCCUCUGAUAAAGUAGAUUUACUAGUGAAACGAAGUAUUCUAAAUACAAUGGUCUUCAUAAUCGCUUAAAAGUUGUAUGUGGAAUUCUUACUCUGGGGUUGCUUACCAUCUGUCCUCCUGCUUCUUCACUUUGCUGUUUGCGCUGAUUCUUCAAACAAUUUGCUGCGACUGUCUUGUGUGCAGGUCAGUCUUCAAUAAUAAAUACUUAAAUGCCAAUUUGUCUUUCCUUUUAGACAGCUUUUGAUGUGUUUACAAGUUUCAUGUGCGGAAUAUAACUUUGGUUCCAAGAAGCUAAAUGGCACCACAAAUUGUUGCCAGACGGUUUCUCUUAAAACCGACCUGGCAGAAUGCAAAGGACCAUCAAGUCUUGCUGGUAGAAAUACACUGGCAAGGAGGACGAGCUUUAUGUUGGUGCAAGAGGACUGCAAGAGUCUGGCUUUGAGUACGGUGACAAGUCGCUCUCUGAGUUACAAAGGACAACUUUCUCAUCUACUAGCGAGACCUUCAGCUAACGGUGGACCCUUUGAAGAUUUAAUGGGAUGUGGAUCAGGAGCCACUCUAGAUUGUAAAGAGAUAUUUAAGUUCUGAUUUUGGGCAAUUAUGAUUCUAUAAAAUUUUUUAUACACUGCUUGCGGGUGUAGAAAAUUCGAUCUGAAGCAUAUCAUCUCAUCAGAUUGGAUUAUAUAGCUGUCAUUUUUUAACGUACAUUUAAUAUCUGUAAUUUUACAUUUUCAUUUGAAAUUUUGAAUGACAAAAAUAUCUCUUCUCUUAUGAAAAAAUUAUAAUAUUUUUUGUUGAGUUGAAAUUAUGAGUUUCUGUACAGAAUAUCAUAAAUUUUUUCAGGACGUCAUAAUUUUAUUAAGAAUAUUUUCGUCAUUAAAAAAUUUAUAUUUUUAAUGAUAAAAUUUUUUUUUUUAUGAUAUUUGCGAUGGCUUUAUAAUUCAAUCGGAUGAGAUGGUAUACUUCAUGUCAGAUUUUCUAUACUGCAGAUAGUGUACAAAGAAUUUCUCUUAUGAUUCCUGUGAUGAUGUUGAUUGUGUAUGAUGGGAUUUUUUUUUAAAUAUUAGUUUUUUAAUAUUUAUUUUUUAAUUUAUUUUUUUUAAUUUAUUUUUUAAAAAUGCGAUAGUUUGGAUGAGGU